rnacentral:rRNA from 1 species
UACGUAGGUGGCGAGCGUUGUCCGGAAUUACUGGGUGUAAAGCGCGUGUAGGCGGCAGGCCAAGUCGGUGGUGAAAGCGCCCGGCUCAACUGGGCGAGGUCCAUGGUAACUGGUCAGCUGGAGGACGGUAGAGGCGAGUGGAAUUCCCGGUGUAGUGGUGAAAUGCGUAGAGAUCGGGAGGAACACCUGUGGCGAAGGCGGCUCGCUGGGCCGGUCCUGACGCUGAAACGCGAAGGCGUGGGGAGCGAACGGG